AAAAGAAUGGGGAAGUAUUGGUUCCAGACCUGCUGCAGAGAGAGGCUCAAAGAGACUCGGCACUGGCAGAACAAAGAAACCUAGGAGGGAAGCUUUGCUCCAAAAGAGAGGUUUUGCUUCAGGAGAAGACUGUUCCAAGGAAAGAGAGACUGGCUGUUUCAAACUCAAAAAAGCUGAUCUUAUGGCUCUUAGCAAAAUACAUGAAGGCCAUCAUCGGAUGUGGGCUGAUUGAUCUUGGACUUCCAAGCCUCCAGAACUAGAACUACUCCACCAUCAUCUGAUGUGGUUCUGAUGGCUGUGUGUUUCUCACCUUUAUCCUCAGCCUGUGGGUAAUUUAAAAUAAAUACUUUUGCAAGUGAACCAAUAGAAAUAUUUCACUGUCAUUGAGCAGAAAGCUAAAAACCUAAUUACGUUGGAAGUAGGAAGAGGAAGUAAGUAUGGUUGGAAGAGGUGGGAGUCUGGUGCUGCCAGAGCAGAAAGCACAAAGAAGAACGUGCUUUUAGGUGGGUGCCCUAAGGGACAUGAUAAGU
rnacentral:lncRNA from 1 species